rnacentral:tRNA from 1 species
UGGGGCGUGGCCAAGCGGCAAGGCGGCGGACUUUGAAUCCGUAAUUCGUAGGUUCGAAUCCUACCGCCCCAG